rnacentral:rRNA from 1 species
GAUGAACGCUGGCGGCGUGCCUAAUACAUGCAAGUCGAGCGAACAGACGAGGAGCUUGCUCCUUUGACGUUAGCGGCGGACGGGUGAGUAACACGUAGGUAACCUACCUAUAAGACUGGGAUAACUUCGGGAAACCGGAGCUAAUACCGGAUAAUAUUUCGAACCGCAUGGUUCGAUAGUGAAAGAUGGCUUUGCUAUCACUUAUAGAUGGACCUGCGCCGUAUUAGCUAGUUGGUAAGGUAACGGCUUACCAAGGCAACGAUACGUAGCCGACCUGAGAGGGUGAUCGGCCACACUGGAACUGAGACACGGUCCAGACUACUACGGGAGGCAGCAGUAGGGAAUCUGCCGCAAAGGGCGAAAGCCUGACGGAGCAACGCCGCGUGAGUGAUGAAGGUCUUCGGAUCGUAAAACUCUGUUAUUAGGGAAGAACAAACGUGUAAGUAACUGUGCACGUCUUGACGGUACCUAAUCAGAAAGCCACGGCUAACUACGUG